rnacentral:rRNA from 1 species
AUGAACGCUGGCGGCGUGCCUAAUACAUGCCAGUCGAGCGAACAGACGAGGAGCUUGCUCCUCUGACGUUAGCGGCGGACGGGUGAGUAACACGUGGAUAACCUACCUAUAAGACUGGGAUAACUUCGGGAAACCGGAGCUAAUACCGGAUAAUAUAUUGAACCGCAUGGUUCAAUAGUGAAAGACGGUUUUGCUGUCACUUAUAGAUGGAUCCGCGCCGCAUUAGCUAGUUGGUAAGGUAACGGCUUACCAAGGCGACGAUGCGUAGCCGACCUGAGAGGGGGAUCGGCCACACUGGAACUAGGACACGGUCCAGCCUCCUACGGGAGGAAGCAGUAGGGAAUCUUCCGCAAUGGGCGAAAGCCUGACGGAGCAACGCCGCGUGAGUGAUGAAGGUCUUCGGAUCGUAAAACGCUGUUAUUAGGGAAGAACAAAUGUGUAAGUAACUAUGCACGUCUUGACGGUACCUAAUCAGAAAGCCACGGCUAACUACGU